UUCAUAUUAACUAUACCUUCUUAUCUCUAUCUCUUCCUAAAAACAUUCCCAAUUCUCCCAAUUCCCAACCGUGUUAUAUCACUUGGUAUGAGAAGAAACUCAACAACAAGAAACAGUGUAUGUUUACAAAAUCAUAAAUGGGCUAACACCUCCUCAGAUCGGAAUGUUUAUUAUCUAAAAUUGAUGGAUUUUUACUUGGAAAAGAUUCACAAUUUCCCAGCAGCUAUUACAUUUUAUCAUCUCCAACCAAAAUCCAAUUCGAGGGCAAAAUAUGAGGGCAAACUUUGACUGUAUCAGCGAUAUAUCGAGUAACAAGAUGAGUUGGAAUUUGAAGGCACGAGUACUGAGAGUGUGGCACGUUCCAGACCGCGACAAACGAAACAACACGGUCUCCCUUGAAUUAAUUAUUCAAGAUGAAAAGUGAUUUAUAAAGUUGAGUUCCAAAAACGAGGGCUGCCUCAUGCUCACAUAAGUAAUUGUGAUGAUCCAAUAUCGACAAUUGUUGAAAGUACAUAUCCAGAUUUCUUUAGCCAUUCCAGUGACAUAGAUUACCUCCAGCAAAGAGCAAUUCUUGCUCUGACUCUUGAUAUGGUGGAAUCAAUCAAUGAAUAUAUAGUUUCACUCAAUUAUAGUCCUGAGAAGAUAUAUUUGAGUUCUGAUACAGUUUGUAUGUCUGAUCAUUCUUUUUCAGCUUAGUGUUCCUGUGAUGUUGUUGAGAAACAUUGACCAGUCAGGUUUGUGUAAUAGCACGAGGUUAAUCAUCACAAGACUUGGAAAUCGGAUUAUUGAAGCCAAGGUUUUAUUUGGCAAUAUAGCUGGACAAAAAGUGUUUAUCCCGAGAAUGACAUUGAUUCCAUCAGAUGCAAGAAUACCUUUUAAGUUCCAGCGAAGACAAUUUUCAAUUGUUGUAUCUUUUGCCAUGACAAUUAAUAAAAGUCAAGGCCAGUCUCAUGUGGGGUUAUUUUUGAAGAAGCCGGUAUUUACUCAUGGACAACUGUAUGUUUCUCUUUCACGCGUGACAAGUAGAAAAGGGUUGAAGAUUUUAGUUCAUGAUGAUGAUGGCCAAAUAACGAAUGAAGCUAGAAAUGUGGUGUAUAAAGAAGUUUUCGGUAAUUUAGUUUGAGAUGAUAGAUAAACAUGGUGGAAUCAUCAGUUAUUUACAAUUUGCACCCAACAGAACAAAGAGAACAAGCUAUAACUACUUAUGCAUUGAACAAUUGAAUUGUGCCAAAACCAUGUUCAGCAACUCAGUAGAGGAUAUCAAGGUAUCUUCAUAACUGCAAUUUCAUUCAGAUUACAUUUCCUUCUAUUGGGGGGUUGAGAAGUACUGGCUCUAUAUACAGAAAGUUAAUUCAAUAGUUUCUCCGGGGGAGAACGACCGUGAAGUACCAAUCUGUGUUAACUUCUGUUAAUGCUAAUUAUAACCAAAAUACUUAAUUGGUGUUUAAUUGCAAGGUUUAUUUCCAUGAAAUACUUGAUGAGGUCAUUGAUAGCUUGGUAAGUAUGUCAGUGCCUUUAAAUGAGGAAGGAAUGUUCUUUACCAGCAAUACUAACUAUUAGUCCAAUUGUGCAGAUUUAAGAGGGAAUAACACUUAAAGUUGCUGGUGGUUUAAUGCUUGAACAUCCGCUGACGUUGCCUUUAUGAUCUACAAUAUGAUUAAAACCAUCGUAACCUUCACGCUCAGCCAUUCCUGUUAUUGAAUGGAUCUUUGUUCAAAAGUUACUUGGAUAUAGUAUGUAAAGUAGUUUAAUGGAAAUACCGAUAUUUGUUUAUUAGUUUUUAUGACGCAGAGGACACUGAUGUUUGGAUUGAUUGAUACUACUAUUAAUUAUAUAAGUCUUAAAUUGUGA